CACAAGCGGUGGAUGAUGUGGUUUAAUUCGAUGCAACGCGAAAACCUUACCCACCUUUGACAUGUACGGAACCCUUUAGAGAUAGAGGGGUGCUCGAAAGAGAGCCGUAACACAGGUGCUGCAUGGCUGUCGUCAGCUCGUGUCGUGAGAUGUUGGGUUAAGUCCCGCAACGAGCGCAACCCUUAUCAUUAGUUGCUACGCAAGGGCACUCUAAUGAGACUGCCGGUGACAAACCGGAGGAAGGUGGGGAUGACGUCAAGUCCUCAUGGCCCUUAUGGGUAGGGCUUCACACGUCAUACAAUGGUCGGUACAGAGGGUUGCCAAGCCGCGAGGCGGAGCCAAUCCCACAAAGCCGAUCGUAGUCCGGAUUGUUCUCUGCAACUCGAGAGCAUGAAGUCGGAAUCGCUAGUAAUCGCAGGUCAGCAUACUGCGGUGAAUACGUUCCCGGGUCUU
rnacentral:rRNA from 1 species